CUACUGCCCAGGGGGUCCGGACUCGGAUUUUGAAUAUUCCACACAGUCUUACACAGGAUAUGAGCCCACGUCAAUGAGAGCCAUCCGUGCACGAUACGAUCCUUACCUCCAGACUAGGCACAGAGUAGAACAGCUCAAGCAGCUUGGUCACAGCGUGGAUAAAGUGGAGUUCAUUGUGAUGGGAGGCACAUUUAUGGCUCUGCCGGAGGAGUACAGGGACUAUUUCAUCCGUAACCUCCACGACGCGCUGUCAGGACACACAUCCAACAACGUCACUGAAGCUGUC